rnacentral:rRNA from 14 species
CCAACAUAGUAAAUUACAACAACUGUUGUAAAAAAUGAAGAUAAACAAAAAAUUAAAUACGACUGGGCAGCGGCGGUAGGGGGGGAGGGGCUGUUCUUCCUCAUGAUGGUCUGAAUGUUUAGCCUUAGCCUUAAUUU